rnacentral:rRNA from 1 species
GACGAACGCUGGCGGCGUGCUUAACACAUGCAAGUCGAGCGGAGCGGCGAACGGGUGAGUAAUAUAUAGUUAAUCUGCCCUACACAGAGGAACAACAGUUGGAAACGACUGCUAAUACCUCAUAGUGUAGGAUGGGGCUAUAUCGUAUCACCUAGUUGGUAAGGUAAUGGCUUACCAAGGCUAUGACGCGGAAUCGGUCUGAGAGGAUGAUCAGUUACAUUGAAAGGGAGACACGGUACAGACACCUACGGGAGGCAGCAGGAAGGUAUAGUGCUGAAUGGGGGAAGGCCUGACGCAGCGACGACGCGUGAGGGAUGACACUAGUCUGAGCGGAAACUCCUUUUAUCAGGAAAGCGGUACCUGAUGAAUAAGCACCGGCUAACUCCGUGCCAGCCGCCGCGGUAAUUC